ACAAAGUUUUUAAAGGCGAAAGCGUAAGGCGAGGCGUUUUUGUGUUCGUGAGGCGAGGCGUAAGCCUCGAGGCGUUGAGGCGAAUGUGAAGAAACCAUGUGAUCCGAUGAUGUUUCAAUCUCUUGGGAGUUGGAUGAAACAGCUCUAAUGGCAUCAACACUGAAUAACUCAUUAUCUUGAAGCCAACAAAGAUCAAGGGGGAGGAGGGGAUCUUCUUUCUCCGCAAUCCAUUCAUCAUCCGAAUCAAUCUCCUCUACCAAAAUCGGAUCAACAUUUUGUUUCCUUUGUAGACUUCGCUCUCUCAAUCUAGUGUUGUAUCUUACAUACACUAGAGCAUUCAACCUUUGAUGUUCAAGUCUAUUUCUUUUUUUUGUAUGGAUCUACAAAUAAUAAAAGUAUCAAAUUUAUGUGUUAAAAUGAAA